GUUAUUGAAGUAAUAUAGCAAUAUGUGGUUUGCAGCUUUUCUUAUUCGAGAAACAGCUGUGUCUUCCUUAUUUUGGUCAGAGGGUGAGCUGUUUCUGCAUGGAGGAAGUAGAGACUGCGAUGGGGGAAUGAAGGAAACAGAAUAAUAGUAAAAAGAUGCUGCUAUGAUGCAAAUGUGCGUUGUCAAAUAGUCACAUAGCCUUAUGCUCUGAUUUGGAGAGAUGGAAAAUGAAACAAAUCGAAACACAGAAUGUAAUAUGAGAGUUAAUUGGUUGGUAUUUGAAAGACAGGCAUUUAUUAAAUAUUGUGUUCCAGAAAAGUG